CUGCCCAGUGGGUGCAGGGGGCUUGUGGCCUCCCAGGUGUGGUGGUGCUGGGGGUGCUGGCCUCUCCUGGCUGUGGAAGAGCCUGUCCAGGGCUGGGGCCAGUACCAUGGCUGGCGGGACACAGGCCCAGGUGGGCAUCAGUGCUGCCCCAGCCAGGAGGGUGCCCUGGGCAGGGCUGCCGUGGGGUUGGGCACAUCAGCUCCAGCUCCUGGGCAGCAGAGGGCAGCUGGGCCUGUGCCCCGGGACUGGCCCCAUCAGUCCUGAGGGAGCAGGGGCAGAGCCCAGCCCCCACCCUAAACCCAGUAGCCCCCAGAACCGGGAGGGAGGUGCCCAGCCUGUGACCACAUCACAGUCCCCCUCAGUGUGCAGGAGCAACACAGUCCCCACCAGUGCAGGAUUCCUGCAGCCUGAGCCAGGAGUGAAGAAGCCCCUGGAGCAGCCCCUGAGCCGCGUCCCCUCAGAGCCUCGAAGCAGCUUCCAUGGGGCUCUCUUUGUGCCCCAGGGCUGCUCCCGGGCCCAGGCCUGCCCCACUUAUCCCAAAGCCUCUCGGGGAGGAACCGUCACCUCCCGUGGCCGAGGAGCAUCAGGCCCAGGAGGGUGAGGAGGCUGGGCAGGCGGCGUGAGGUCCUGGCUCGUCACCACUGCACCUCACUGUCCCCCUGUGACUGCCAAGGGCCAGUCAGGGACACCUGGAUGGGGGUGAGGGCCCUGCCAGAUGUGCCAGGGAAGUGGAUACCCCGGCCUCAGAGACGGCCCUGCAGAGGCCCAAGGCGGACUGCAUGUGUGCGACGAUUCUCACUUGGGCCAGGGAGACACUGCCCUGGGUUUCCAGGCAGGCUUUUAUGAAUGGAACAGUUUCACGAGGGGUCUGCACAGGGGUUACGGGACGCCCACAGUGGCCUGUGUCCCGGCAGGAGCUGUCUGGGCUGUGGGGUCUCACAGCUGAGGGCCCGGUGGGGGUCCAGAUAUUGGAGCCAGAGCGGCGGUGGCUGGGAGAGGAGGGCUGGGUGGUUCAGUUAGUGAUGCCCCAAGAAGUCAAGGUAAGUCGCCACUGAAGCCAGACGCCGGGCUGUGCUGGCUCCUUCGGUCACUGCAGCCUGGGCUCUGGGGCAGGCGCCACGUGGCCACAGUGUCGGGUUCAGCCGUGUCUGGGGCUCCAGCUUCCUGGGCUGCUUCCAGCCACGGCGUUCCUGCGCCACGCACCUCUCCUCACCCGUCCACAGAUGGACAGCGUUGGGGACAUGUCCUGGUGGUCACGAAGCCCACGCGAGUGGCCUCACCCGGGACCCUGCGUGGCUCCGCGUGGCCCUCAGCCCCUGCCCACAGCUCCUGCUCUCAAACCCGGACAGGGCCUAACAUUUCACAGGAGUGACGUUCGUCCUGAUCUCAGGAAUGAAAGGAGGUCACGGGCACCAGGACAGAGCCGCUCAGCCCCUCCCCACCUCCUUUCAUUUAAAAGCAGUGUUUGGGGAAGACACUCCACAACCCAGGGCUGCUCUGAGAAAGGCAGGAAGAGGGGAUUUCUGGAGCCUGGGGCCUGCUGGGGGCUCCCUCUCCCCUCCUCGCCUGCCUUGCAGAGGUGAGGCAAAGCCACCUGCGGCCCCGGAGGCCAGGUCCAUGUGGCGUAGGCGAUGCUGGCGGGGAAGGCUGAUGGCCACCCCCCAUAACCGCACACCCCCAGUGUCCAGCAACCAAGGGUAACGCCAGCCUCUGGGACCUGACCGGUGUCUGUGCAGGCUGUGCCUGCAGUGAUGCGGCCCCUGCCUGGGCCUGGGCUGGAGGCCGAGGGGUCCAUGGGAGAGCACGGGCUGAAAGAGGGUUCUCGAAUGGGGUCAGGUGGAGUCUGCGUGUGUCUCUGAGACGCCUGAGCCGCCCCAGGGGCGAUGACCAGCUCUGGGCGGUGUCCGGGAGGCUGAGUCCAGGCCAGGGCUCUGCACACGGAGGGUCCCGGCAGUCAGGUGAGGCUGGCAUCCCUGCACGCGGAGGAUCCUGGCAGGCAAGGUUGGCAUUCCGUGCUGUUGGGGCUGUGUUGGGGCUUCCUGAGGCUGUGGUGGCCACGGGUCCUGAGGAGGACGGCAGGGGAGGGAGAGCGGCUGCCAGCCUUUCUCCAGGGCAGCACUUCAGGUCACGCCCACUCUGGGGAGAGCAGCGAGGCCUGGCGGGGCGGGAGCGGAGAAGGCAGCUCCGCCAAACACUGAGUCCCGGCGAUGGUGGCUCCUUCUGGCUGCUGCAAGGUCUGAGCACCCGCGGACGUGGGGCAGGGUGCUGGCAGAGUGGGUGGGACCCGCCUGCGGCCCCGUUUGCUUCUGUUGGGGGGCAGCUCCCGGAGGCCGGACAGAGCAGCAGAGCGGGCCAGGAAAACUUCAGGGGCCUCUCCUGUUGGCCCGUCAGCCUGUCCAUCUCUUGUGACCUUGGGGCAUGCUCUGAGGGGGGUCCCAGGCUGACUCGACAGAAGCCGAGGUGGGGACAACCCUGGUGCGUUCUGGGAGCCGGUAGCGCAUCUCCUGCAGCAGAGCUAGAGGGAGGAGCCCAGAGCACACAGCAGGAGUUUCCGUUUCCUUCCAAGUGUGUGGGAUGCUGCACCAUAGGACACCCCCGUCCAGACGUCUCCAUGUCUCCGUGGCAUCCAGCCCCUGAUACUCGGAAGUCAGCUUUCUGAGUUGGGGAGAGUUGGGGAGAGUUGGGAGGGUAGGAGGCCUUGGUCCCUCCUGGUCUUCUCUGCCCGGUGCUGGGUUCAGGUGGUCAGGAACUUUCUCUGGGCAGAGGGUGUGUAUGGAGCCCAUCCAGAUGCACACAGAGGCAUAAGCAGGUGUGGAAAGUCAACCAGCGCCCCACUGGCCGUCCCCAGCCCUCCUCCCUACCCGCCAGGAGCAGCGUCAUCCAGAUCUCUGUCCCUGGGCACUGCUGUGCAAGGCUGGCACCCCUGCCAGGGAGCAGGCGGCAGAGGCAGGAGGGACAGAGCCCUGUAGGCUCCAGAUGGCAGAAUUCCUGGCUCUGAGAUGGGAACAUGGGGGCGCUUUGCAUCAGCAGUGCCCAGAGUCCCCUCCACAGCCCCAGGCUUGUGUGGAACCCAUCUGUGAACUGGAUGUGGAAAGAAGGUCCCCGAGUGCCCACGUUUACAGGGACCUUUGGAGACCCUCACUCAGACCUGGGAAGCCCAUUGCUCACAUGGCCUGGCUGCUCCCAGUGGGCAGGAGACGGAGAAGCCACAGACAGCGUCCUGGGUGCGGUCUGUGGCAGUGACCCAGCAGACAUGCAGGGAACAGCCCUGCCUGCAGAAGCAGAUGCUGGGGCAGGUGGCAGUGCACCUGGAGGAAGCCUCCUGGACGCGGUGGGGAGGGCGUGGGUGCACGUCUCAGGCCAGUGUGCUUCCAUGUCUUAUCCCACAUCUGUGGGUUUGAGCUUGGUCUGGGGUGCCAGCUCCCACCAGGCCAGCCACACCUUGGGGACUCACCCUGGGCUCUCCUGCCACUCAAGGUGGAGACUCUGGGACAGCCCUCCUCCACGUGAACAGACCGACCGAGACACCUCUCCACCACCUCCCUCACGCUGUGCCCGCCCAGCUCUCCCCCCAGAGGGCACCUGCCUUGCGAAGCCCCUCCUGGCCCUUGGUAGCUGACGGGAGACUCGGAUGCUGCCAGACGGCCCCUUCGCAAGUCUGUGGUUUGUGUCUAACUGCAUUUUCCUUGGAAAAGUAUGGGGUGAAGAGCGAUAUGGGGCUCCAUAGGCAGCUGCCAGGUGGUGGUGGCCUCGCUCCUCCUGCUGCUGGUGGCCGCCACGGCCGCCUCGAGGGACAGCUGUCUGGCCUGUCUGCAGAAGCCCACCAGGAAGCACCCCCAGUGCUGGGCCUUGGCCAAGAGCACCGGCCUGGAAGGGGUAGGGCUUGGGGACAGCGGCAUGAGGUCAGACAUAGCGUGGGGUCGACCCCGCAGGCAGCCCAUCAUCCACAGCCUCCAUGUUCUGUCUGCAAAAUGGGGCCACAGUGGAGCCUGGGCAGAGGAUAAAGCUGCCCACCACCCCGAGGCCAGACCCCAGAGGGCUGGAGGCCAGCCAGUCCUCCAUACCCAGCCCCUCCCCAGCAGACCCUUCUUCCAGUGGGGCGCUGUGCCUGACUGGGUCCUUUCUGAACCUCUGCCUUCUCGUCGCUGAAGUUCGUAGGUUCUUGUUCUUGGGAACCGCGAGUUCAGGCACUACCAGCAGGACAGACAGAGGGACGGAUGGACGGCUGGACAGCCUGAAGGCCCCUGCCAUGGGCACUCAUCCCACAGGACAAAGGGACGGCUGGACGGCUGGACAGGCUGGAGGCCCCUGCCAUGGGGCACUCACCCCGCGGGACGGACAGAGGGACGGAUGGAUGGCUGGACAGGUUGGAGGCCCCUGCCAUGGGCACUCACCCCACAGGACAAAGGGACGGAUGGACGGCUGGACAGGCUGGAGGCCCCUGCCAUGGGGCACUCACCCCGCAGGAUGGACAGAGGGACGGAUGGACGACUGGACAGGCUAGAGGUCCUCUGCCAUGGGGCACUCACCCCGCAGGAUGGACAGAAGGGCGGAUGGAUGGCUGGACAGGCUGGAGGCCCCUGCCAUGGGCACUCACCCCACAGGACAAAGGGACGGAUGGACAGCUGGACAGGCUGGAGGCCCCUGCCAUGGGCACUCACCCCAUGGGACGGACAGAAGAGCGGAUGGAUGGCUGGACAGGCAGGAGGCCUCUGCCAUGGGGCACUCACCCCAUGGGAUGGACAGAAGGACAGAUGGACGGCUGGACAGGCUGGAGACCCCUGCCAUAGGCACUCACCCCGCAGGACAGAGGAUGGAUGGACAGCUGGACAGGCUGGAGGACCCUGCCGUGGACACUCACCCCGCAGGACAGACAGAGGAUGGAUGGACAGCUGUGGACAGCUGGACAGGCUGGAGGCCCCUGCCAUGGGCACUCACCCUGCAGUUGCUUGGCCUCCACAGGGUCCUGGGAAGUUUCCAGUGUGUGGGUUAUGCCUUUGUUAUAUCCGGCUGCCGGUAGGCCAGGCAGGCACCUUCUGAGGAAGGGUUGCUGCAUGAAUAUGUGGCUCACGGAGGCCUUCCUCUGUGUGUGACUCACACCCACCCACCCCAGCCCACUCCUGGGAGCACCGUUCCGGGGGCUUUGGAGGCCCAUCCAUCCUUCCCUAGGGACGGAAGUGCAGGGAGCGGUAUCCCUGGUACUACCGUCUCUGGUGAACUUGGGCCAGGACUCCCUUUGCUGGACAUAGACCCUACCCACACCAGGUGACCAUGGGGUGACCUCACAGGGUGUGCGGGGUUCUGAAGCCGCCACCCUCCUGCCUGAGCCCUGCACUUUGACCUGGGGCUGCUGAGCCCAGCAGGGCCUAGAGAGGGUUGGCUCAGUGGGGCAUGGGGGCCUUGGGUGGUUGGGUCCCCGAGACAGGCCGUCUGUGCUGUCUGUAUGGCAGGCUGUGGGGCCCGGCUUGCCUGGGUCCCACGUGGUAGAACUCGGCGUUUGUGGGGGGCCUGCUGGGGGCAGGAAGGGGUGGCGCCCCACCCUGAGCUGGUAUCCAUGCUUCACUGGAGCCAGGCUGAGGGCAUGGGCAGAAGGUGCGGACCUGUCUGUCCCUUUGAGGACCAAGGUCAUGACCACCACAGAGCGAGCACCCGGGUCCUCAGAUCAAAGGCCCAACAGCCAGCGAGGCUUCUGCACCGGUCCCAGCAGAAGCGGGGCCUGGCUGAGGCAGUGACAUCACAGACUCGGGGCAACGCGAGCAGAAGGGGGUCUCAGCGUCCCACAGCUGCUAUGACAAGUCCCCGUAAACACAGUCACUCAGAGUGGCACAAGCUGGUGGCAGCGGUUGAGCUGGAGGUCCAGGGCGGGUCUCACCAGGCUGAAGUCAAGGUACCGACCUCAGGGGAAUUGGUUUCCUGCUUUUCCCAGCCUCAGAGGCCCCACUUGGCUGUACCUGGGCAGCUGCUCCACUCCACGGGCCUGGCCUCGCUCACGGGGCUCCAAGAACAGAGCCUGGAUUGUCCUGAGGGCUCUGUGGUGUCCCUGUCGGGGCAAAGGAAGAUUUAGGAUGCACUGGAAACCCAGAAGUCCAGAGAAGGGGCUCAGAGCCAUCAGUCACCACGGGGCACCUCGAGGGUCCCACAAACACCACAGCGGGCGUCAGACCUUGAAGCGUCGGGAAGGGCCUCGCCGCCUUGGGAGGGGUCAGCAGUUAGCAGAGGACCCUGGGCAGUGGCAGGGAGCAGUGACAAGGGCCCCCAUUCAGGCCCUCACCCCUGGCAUGUGGAGGAGGUGCUGCCCUGCCUCAGAAGCCUCGAGGGCAACCCACACCCUCAGGAGGCCCAGCUGGGGGCGUCAUUGCAGGGCACCAGCAGAAACUGGGGUCCGAAAACAGCGGCCCAGAGUGGAUUUGGAACAGACGAGGGUGUCACAGAAAGGAUGUUUCAUAAGGUGGGUUUUGAUUAGUAUGUUUAAAUAAAUGUAAUUUAAUUGAUGUUAAACAUGCAUCUUAAUGCUUUUCUAAAAUGUGCAAUUGGGCCAGUUGCGGUGGCUCAUGCCUGUAAUCCCAGCACUUCAGGAGGCUGAGGCGGGCAGAUCACUUGAAGUCAGGAAUUCGAGA